UGACCAAAAGGAGAGGCGUUUCUCACAAUCCUUUCUUUCCGCGACGUGGACCACGAUACUGAACGUCUUACGGCAAAUAAAAUUGGGCUCGUUUAAAAAAAGAAUAAUAAUAAAAUAAUAAUAAUAAUAAAAAGGCACUGUGAGGCGUGUUAAGAAGUGUUGUUUUAGCGUGGCUCGGGAAGCGUGGUUUCAGGAGGAGAUUUAUUCCUGAAACACGGAUGCGCUGAGAUCAAGAUACGUGAUGGCUGGUAAAUAGCCGCCUACCUGCCUGUAUGACUCUCAGCUCUCUCAGUCUGAGGCAGGAUUACACCCAGGUCUGAAUGACUUAGAAAAGCGAAUGAAAUGAAUCGACAGGAUUUCCCCGGCUUCCUGGAAGGAGUGCAACCUGGGUUUUAACGCUGAAGCCGUUUUUUGUUUUCAAGAAGCCGGUUUUUUGGCGCUCCACUGAAUCGAUACAGUUUUGGCAGGACACACUACAACAGCACGCUGGGUUUAUCAUUUUCAUUCGUAUUUUUAUUCUACCUGUAUUCAUUAUGCGAACUGUCUAGCUUUGUGCGAGAUAUUAUUCCUGUCAAUAUACAACCUUUGAACUGUUCAGAGCACGUGCGCGCGCCUCGAGCUAAACGGGGUGGUGUCAGUCAGCCACGCAGCAGCCCCGCCCACUCACCACAAGAAAAGCCCCGCCCACUUCCUACACACCCGUAGGGACUGUCCUGAAACUCCUCCGAGUCUGAACUGAGCUACUCCUGAGGUCUCUUUCACAUUCACUGUUAAACUCCACCCUGGCUUUAUUCCAUAAUAUUUUGUAUCCAUAGAGCAAGAGGACUACUUCCUUCUUCCCCCCACCGAGUCCUGUUUCUGAGGUCAUAUGUAGUGCCCCAGCGCUGACCUGACAAUGAGUCACACCCAAGCACGCAAAUCUUCUCAACAUUUCACUGACGGAUGUAAAGAAUUCUGGACAGGAACCAGCUCGUCACAUAUCAGUGCUAAUGAAGACCGUGAGAAUGUGUGUGUGUGUGUGUGCUUGAGGAAUUCUUGUAAAGUGUCUCUUGUGAUCACCGUCAUCUUAACUGAUGUAUAAAACAACCAGAACCAGUCAAGUCGCAGUAUCAGUUGUUGCUAGAGUGUAAGCCGAGCUUCAGGUGCUCUUCCUUUCAUCGUAUCAAACUUUGGUAUUGCUGUUAACGUUAAAAUGAAAUUUGUAAAAGGGUUUGCUAAAGAAUGUUUGCUACACACCGGUCGUGUUCUGGAAGGGAGUGUUCGGUUGACUUGACUAAGCACUGUUUGUGUUCAGAUAGAGCACCGCCUCAAGCAUUUUAUCAUCUUUCAGCGAAACCGGAGAUUUAUGUUUAAGCAUUAGGACUCUUCACAUAUGCACUUAACACGGCGCAUGCUGACUCUGCAAAAACUUGUACAGCAAAGCUCCUGCCGAGAAUAUAGUCAGCCAUCAGGUGAGCGAGGAAUGAAACAUGACUAGGUGUGCUGUUAUAUAGUGAUAGCACCCUCUCUUAUGCCACAGCAAUUUCGCAACUAUUACAAUAUUUAUUCAUUAAAGAAUGACUUGUCAUACCUUUUCAUUUGUUUAUGGUUACAUUUAAUGUUGUGGACACCUAUGAAACAAGUUUGUUCCUGUUAUCAUGAUGUAACUCACUGUAUUGUCUGUCUUCAAAUUAAUAAGGCAAAGUUUUUUUUGUUUUUUUAAACCCACAGCAUGUCAUGUUACAGAGAGAGUGGAAAGAACUGACACUCAGCACUCCUUCCAUAAAUGUUCAAUAAACAUCUUCUAAUAGAAAACUUCACAUCAAUUAUUAUACAUAUUUCUUUGUUAAAUAACAUGUUGUUUUUUUUAUCAGUUUAUUAUUAGGUUUAGAAUAGGUGGAGCAUCCACCAUGUAUGAGUCCCUGUGUAUGAGCUGUUACUAUAGAAACAAUAUCAUUUAAUGGAAUAAUAGAGUGUAGAAUAUAAACCCGUUUACGUUACAGCCGGAGAUAUUGUCGGAGCGGUGCUGUUUAUAGCAGAUGAAUCUACACCACCUUCUUUGAGAAUUCAUCAGCUCUGUGGUAUAAAGAAUAUUAAUGACCACCUUCUGACCAAUCAGAAUCGAGCAUUCAACAGCACUAGUUUGUAACGAAGGUUCAGAUACUUUAGUUGCUCCUCAUCAUGUCCGUCUUUAAUCAAAUCUUAACAAGAGACUGACUUUCUAGAAAAAACAAACUGGUCUGACAUCAGCAGCAAGAAUCAGUUCCAAGUUAAUCAUGUUUUCAGUUACAUUUAAAAUUAUGGAUUAUGUUUCAUAGUAUGGCUUCCUGGAAGUGCCCACAAGUUUGGCUU